rnacentral:rRNA from 1 species
GAUGAACGCUGGCGGCGUGCCUAAUACAUGCAAGUCGAGCGAACGGACGAGAAGCUUGCUUCUCUGAUGUUAGCGGCGGACGGGUGAGUAACACGUGGAUAACCUACCUAUAAGACUGGGAUAACUUCGGGAAACGGGAGCUAAUACCGGAUAAUAUUUUGAACCGCAUGGUUCAAAAGUGAAAGACGGUCUUGCUGUCACUUAUAGAUGGAUCCGCGCUGCAUUAGCUAGUUGGUAAGGUAACGGCUUACCAAGGCAACGAUGCAUAGCCGACCUGAGAGGGUGAUCGGCCACACUGGAACUGAGACACGGUCCAGACUCCUACGGGAGGCAGCAGUAGGGAAUCUUCCGCAAUGGGCGAAAGCCUGACGGAGCAACGCCGCGUGAGUGAUGAAGGUCUUCGGAUCGUAAAACUCUGUUAUUAGGGAAGACCAUAUGUGUAAGUAACUGUGCACAUCUUGACGGUACCUAAUCAGAAAGCCACGGCUAACUACGUG